CAGUCGCCGCGGUAAUACGUAGGUGGCGAGCGUUGUCCGGAAUUAUUGGGCGUAAAGGGAGCGCAGGCGGACAUAUAAGUCCAUCUUAAAAGUGCGGGGCUCAACCCCGUGAGGGGAUGGAAACUGUAUGCCUUGAGUGCAGGAGAGGAAAGUGGAAUUCCUAGUGUAGCGGUGAAAUGCGUAGAUAUUAGGAAGAACACCAGUGGCGAAGGCGACUUUCUGGACGAAAACUGACGCUGAGGCGCGAAAGCCAGGGGAGCGAACGGGAUUAGAUACCCGUGUAGUCCCUGUCUCUUAUACC
rnacentral:rRNA from 1 species